AGAGUUUGAUCAUGGCUCAGGACGAACGCUGGCGGCGCGCUUAACACAUGCAAGUCGAGCGAGAACCGGAGCUUCGGCUCCGGGGACAGCGGCGAACGGGUGAGUAACACGUGGGUAAUCUGCCCUCGGUUCUGGGAUAGCCCGGGGAAACUCGGAUUAAUACCGGACAGCCUCUCUGGCCUGCGGGCCGGCGAGAAAAGGUAGCUUCGGCCUCCGACUGAGGAUGAGCCCGCGGCGGAUUAGCUUGUUGGCGGGGUAACGGCCCACCAAGGCGACGAUCCGUAGCUGGUCUGAGAGGACGAUCAGCCACACUGGGACUGAGACACGGCCCAGACUCCUACGGGAGGCAGCAGUGGGGAAUCUUGCGCAAUGGGCGAAAGCCUGACGCAGCGACGCCGCGUGGGGGAAGAAGGCCUUCGGGUUGUAAACCUCUUUCAGGUGGGACGAAGCCACUCGGGUGAAUAGCCCAGAGGGUGACGGUACCGCCAGAAGAAGCCCGGCUAACUACGUGCCAGCAGCCGCGGUA
rnacentral:rRNA from 1 species